rnacentral:rRNA from 1 species
GACGAACGCUGGCGGCGUGCCUAAUACAUGCAAGUAGAACGCUGAAGGAGGAGCUUGCUUCUCUGGAUGAGUUGCGAACGGGUGAGUAACGCGUAGGUAACCUGCCUGGUAGCGGGGGAUAACUAUUGGAAACGAUAGCUAAUACCGCAUAAUAGUAGAUGUUGCAUGACAUUUGCCUAAAAGGUGCAAUUGCAUCACUACCAGAUGGACCUGCGUUGUAUUAGCUAGUUGGUGGGGUAACGGCUCACCAAGGCGACGAUACAUAGCCGACCGGAGAGGGUGAUCGGCCACACUGGGACUGAGACACGGCCCAGACUCCUACGGGAGGCAGCAGUAGGGAAUCUUCGGCAAUGGACGGAAGUCUGACCGAGCAACGCCGCGUGAGUGAAGAAGGUUUUCGGAUCGUAAAGCUCUGUUGUAAGAGAAGAACGAGUGUGAGAGUGGAAAGUUCACACUGUGACGGUAUCUUACCAGAAAGGGACGGCUAACUACGUG